rnacentral:rRNA from 1 species
GAUGAACGCUGGCGGCGUGCCUAAUACAUGCAAGUCGAGCGAACGGACGAGAAGCUUGCUCCUUUGAGGUUAGCGGCGGACGGGCGAGUAACACGUGGAUAACCUACUUCUAAGUCUGGGAUAACUUCGGGAAACCGGAGCUAAUACCGGACAAUAUUUUGAACCGUAUGGUUCAAAAGUGAAAGGCGGUCUUGCUGUCACUUAUGGAUGUAUCCGCGCUGCAUUAGCUAGUUGGUAAGGUAACGGCUUACCAAGGCAACGAUGCGUAGCCGACCUGAGAGGGUGAUCGGCCACACUGGAACUGAGACACGGUCCAGACUCCUACGGGAGGCAGCAGUAGGGAAUAUUCCGCAAAGGGCGAAAGCCUGACGGAGCAACACCGCGUGAGUGAUGAAGGUCUUCGGAUCGUAAAACUCUGUUAUUAGGGAAGAACAUAUGUGUAAGUAACUGUGCACAUCUUGACGGUACCUAAUCAGAAAGCCACGGCUAACUACGUG